rnacentral:tRNA from 1 species
CCGCCGGACGGCGGGGGAUAGCCACCGGGUGGUGGUGGCGCGUCGUCGCCCCCCGUGGGCGACGCGGGCGCCGUUGGAUCCGGCCCGGCGGC